GACGAAUCCGCGCUCCCCCAGGCUGUCGCGCGAGCUCCCCGGAAGCUCCCACCUGAGCGGCGCAUCCUCAGGGCCUGGGCCUGGCCUCCUUGCCUGUGAGAUGGCACUGUGACGGUGCCCACCUCGUGGGGUGUGUGAGGGCCGAGUGAAAUCGUGCAUUUGCGGUAAGAAAGUGCUUAUCACGGUGCCCAGUCCUAAUAUGGGCUGCCAGCCUAAGUACAGAGUCCCAAUCCCAGCCCAAAGGCCAGUUUCCAGGUGAACCCUUGUCGGGGAGACCACCAGACGGAACAGUCCCAGUCUACACUCCUGCACCGAGCAGGGGACAGUGUGGACCGCAGAGAGGUCCGAAGUCCCUUUAGAAUAAGGAUGGUGCUUCAGGGUUGUUAAAAGGAUUAAAUGAGAUGAUAUCUAAAGGGAUUAGCACAGUGGCUGGUGCUAAAAUAAAUCAUUUUCUCUACUGCCACUGCUCUUACAACCAGACGCCUGGAACAGCCUGCUGGUUCGUCUCCUCAUUUGUAAGCUGGAGUUAGUAGGUGUGUUGUGAAGGUUGAGAGAAUAUGCAUAGGCAGAACCUGGCGUUUAAUAUUUGGGAAGUGGCAGCAAUUCUUUCUUCAUUAAUCUACAAGCUGCACUGUGGUAGGCACAUACCCUUAGCACCGAUUCUUAUAAGUGCAGGUAAGAGAGAGAGAAGAUAUAUUGUGUAAGUCGAAGGAGCCAGCCGUGUCCAGGCCACCGCAAAACCUCGACAGUACUGUACCAGGGCCCUCUUCAGUGAAUGAAUCUCCUCUUUGGCCUGUUUGCUGUCUGUUUGCAUUUGCUGCACCCAUCAGUUCCCAAACCUGGUCUCUAAAGUCAGGAGCUCAAGGAAGCUUGUCCCAAUCCUAGAAAACAAGUACAGCACACACCAACAGCAGCAUCCCUAAAAGCCAGCCCUACUGGCAAUGCGGGCCCUGCAACCCGUAGGUAAGUGGGACACUCUAAGCUUCUUGGAAACAGCUAACUCAGGGCCUGAUUAGCUUACUCCCGCCUCCUGUCUUCAGGAAAUCAGACUGUGUAAAAUAAGAGAGAAAAGAAAAUUGACAUAAGUCUAUUCCACUGUCUAAUGAAAUGUGUUUCACUUGUGUUUAAAGUGAAUUGUGGGCUGGCGUGGUGGCUCAUUUGCCUAUAAUCCCAACACUUUAGGAGGCCAAGGCAGGCAGAUGGCUUGAGCUCAGAAGUUUGAAAUCAGCCUGGCAACAUGCAAAAACCCCAUCUCUACAAAAAA
rnacentral:lncRNA from 1 species